CCUGGCUGUGCACCUUUCACACCUUUUCGUCCUGUAAUUACAAAUUGAAAAGUUAUUUGCAUUUUACAGAUUGGAUUAGCAAGAUUAUGGAAUAUGAGAAACCCAAUUUGACUAACUAUUUCAAGAAUUACAAAUUGAUUGUAGUCGGAUCAGUUUUCAGCAUUAGUAUGAGAUGACACAUUAACUUGGCUGAGACAACCAUCACAAUCAAUAGUUGUUCCAGAAAAGUAAAAAAAAUGAGAAUGAUCAGCCAUACAUAAAGAAGGAAAACACAACAAAAACUUCCAAAUAAAACAGGAAUAUGUAUACACACGCAUAUGUACAGAGAUAGAUACCCUCGUAGUCAGAAAAUAGUUCAAAUAAGGAAAAUUGUAAGAGAAAACAAAGGCUUGUUACGGAAUUUGCUCUGUUAAAUAGAAAUACAACAUGCUGUCAGCAAAUGACAACAAUUUUCAUUAAACAGCAAUUGCACGGCAGAAGUUUUAUUUUGCUUAACAUAGUGGAAAUGGAUAGGUAAAUACAACCCCAAAACAUCACUUUUUGGAGCUGUUCCCAUAUAUUAGAAUUUACAUAUAAGGGAGAGAGAGAGAGGAAGGAUGCAAUUGAUUUGGCAGGAUAAUGAUGGACUUCCAAGAUACUAGGAUUUUAUCCUUUUCUUUUACCUACUAACGGAGCAGUGCCAAUCGCUGAAAUUAACAUGAGAAAAAGGUGGGUUAGACUAAA